UACGGGGGGAGCAAGCGUUAUUCGGAAUUAUUGGGCGUAAAGGGCGCGUCGGUGGCGGGACAAGCGUGCGGUGAAAGCUCGGGGCUCAACCCCGAGUCGGCCGUGCGAACUGUUUUGCUGGAGCACUGUAGAGGCAGGCGGAAUUCCGGGUGUAGCGGUGGAAUGCGUAGAGAUCCGGAAGAACACCGGUGGCGAAGGCGGCCUGCUGGGCAGUUGCUGACACUGAGGCGCGACAGCGUGGGGAGCAAACAGG
rnacentral:rRNA from 1 species